GAUGAAGAACGCAGCGAAAUGCGAUAAGUAAUGUGAAUUACAGAAUUCAGUGAAUCAUCGAAUCUUUGAACGCACCUUGCGCCUUUUGGUAUUCCGAAAGGCACACCUGUUUGAGCGUCAUGAACACCUCAAUCUCCAUCUUUUCUUCGGAUUGAUGGGUGACUUGGAUGUUGAGCCCUGCUGGUAUGCUAUAUCAGCUGGCUUUAAACUUAUUAGCCGGCUCUGUACUGGAUCGGUUUGACUCGACGUGAUAAUAUUAUCGUUGAGGAUGCAUGUCUCAUGCAGCCGGAAAGUAUCAAAGCAGCUUCUAGCUUGCCUUUAGUGCACUUUUACAUUUUAGACCUCAGAUCAGGUGGGACUACCCGCUGAACUUAAGCAUAUCAAUAAGCGGAGGA
rnacentral:misc_RNA from 1 species